rnacentral:lncRNA from 1 species
CUUUGAAAUAUCUCUGAACUCAAAAAUCAUCUGCACCAUCUCAACCACCUCUCCAAUGAUUGAAAAAUGAGGAGGAAAUCCAUCCGACCCCAAAGCUUUUCCUCCCUGAGGGAUCAGAGGGUCUCCCGCACCUCUUUAACAGAGACUAGAUGAGUCAGGGUCUCAUUCUCCACAUCAGAGAUGCUGCACACAGGAUGGGAUCCCUAGAGGGGGCAUCCCCAUCCAAAAGAGUAGUCCAACACUAUCUGAAGAACUAUAGAAUUUGAUCCUUAAUCUCAUCACUGUCCUCCACUACUCUAUUAUAACUUUUCAGCUGCCUAAUGCAAUUGGUAGAUCUCUGGAUCAUCGUCGAUUGAUGGAAGAAUCUUAUGUUCCGAUCACUCUUCCUGAUCCACUGCAUCCUAGACUUUUGCCUCCAUAGCAUCUUCUCCUAUCUCAACAAAGAGUGGUGCAUGAAGAGCUUAUGUUGAAGCUCUCUCAUAUCAGGCUCCUAAAGGUCCUCUCCUGAUCCUCCCUCCUCUAGAGCUUCGUAAUGUCCACCUCCAUCUCCUGGAUCCAUUUAAAGAUAUCACCAACCUCAAGAUAAUUCAUCAGAUGAGCCUACGCCUCGCCAACUCAAGCCGCCUAAUCACUUGAUAUCUCACAUUACCACAGACCAGCAUCCUCCAAACUUCUCUAAUCAGAUCCCACGAUCUUGGAUAGAAUGUCUAGAACUUCUUAAAUCUGAAUAGAGCCUUGGACAAGUGUGGGCUAACAGUGGUGAUGAGAAGCAGGAAAUGGUCCGAAGCAAUCCUAAGAAGGUGCUGCAUUUGGUGUCCAAGAAAAUACUGGAACCAGUCAGUAGUGGUAAGUGUCCAAUCAAUCCUCUUCUAAAUCCUGACUCCUAGCCAGUUAUUACACUAGGUGAACUUGAGUCUAGUGUAGCCAAGGUCAAUCGAGCUCAAGUUACCAAUGAACUUCUUGAACUUUCUAGAGUCAAUACUAUCAGCAUAUUAUGUAUCAUCCAUCUUCUCGUGGAAUCCUACAAUGGAGUUGAAAUCUUCGACGAUAAGAGAAGGCAAGUCCUGCUCCACCAUCCUGGAGUUAUUGGAUCAGAGAACCUUCCGCUUCUUG